UACAGAGACCUCAAACGUUAUCCGGAUUCAUUGGGCGUAAAGCGUCCGCAGGUGGUGUUGUUAGUCAGUUGUCAAAUCCUGGUGCUUAACACCAGGACUGCGAUUGAUACUGCAACACUCGAGGUUGGAAGAGGCAAGCGGAACUACCGGUGUAGUCGUAAUAAGCGCUGAUAUCGGUAGGAACACCAAAGGCGAAGGCAGCUUGCUAGUACAUACCUGACACUCAUGGACGAAAGCGUGGGUAGCGAAUGGG
rnacentral:misc_RNA from 1 species